rnacentral:rRNA from 1 species
AGGACGAACGCUGGCGGCGUGCUUAACACAUGCAAGUCGAACGAGGUCCAUCCGGUGGCAACACCGGAGAAGACUUAGUGGCGAACGGGUGAGUAACACGUGAGGAACCUGCCCCGAAGACCGGGAUAACAGCGGGAAACCACUGCUAAUACCGGAUACCCCCAUCGGACCACAUGGGCUGAUGAGGAAAUGGAUUCCGCUUCGGGAGGGCCUCGCGGCCUAUCAGCUUGUUGGUGGGGUAACGGCCUACCAAGGCGACGACGGGUAGCUGGUCUGAGAGGACGAUCAGCCACACUGGGACUGAGACACGGCCCAGACUCCUACGGGAGGCAGCAGUGGGGAAUCUUGCGCAAUGGGCGAAAGCCUGACGCAGCAACGCCGCGUGAGGGAUGAAGGCCUUCGGGUUGUAAACCUCUUUCGAGCAGGGACGAUAAUGACGGUACCUGCAGAAGAAGCUCCGGCCAACUACGCGCCAGCAGCCGCGGU